UACGGAGGGUGCAAGCGUUAUCCGGAUUCACUGGGCUUAAAGGGUGCGUAGGUGGGUCUGUAAGUCAGUGGUGAAAUCUUCGAGCUUAACUCGGAAACUGCCAUUGAUACUAUAGGUCUUGAAUUUUCUGGAGGUAAGCGGAAUAUGUCAUGUAGCGGUGAAAUGCUUAGAUAUGACAUAGAACACCAAUUGCGAAGGCAGCUUACUACGGGAACAUUGACACUGAGGCACGAAAGCGUGGGGAUCAAACAGG
rnacentral:rRNA from 1 species